rnacentral:rRNA from 1 species
GAUCCUGGCUCAGGAUGAACGCUGGCUACAGGCUUAACACAUGCAAGUCGUGGGGAAACGGCAUUAUGUGCUUGCACAUUCUGGACGUCGACCGGCGCACGGGUGAGUAUCGCGUAUCCAACCUGCCCCUUACUUGGGGAUACCCCGUUGAAAGACGGCCUAAUACCCGAUGUGUUUCAUUGACGGCAUCCGAUAUGAAACAAAGGUUUUCCGGUAAGGGAUGGGGAUGCGUCUGAUUAGCUUGUUGGG